rnacentral:lncRNA from 1 species
AUGCCUCGCGGCGGGGUGGGCCGUCUGGAACACGGCGGCCCGAGCUCCGAGGCCGCAUCCCGCACAAAGGCGAGGCUCAGAGCUGCUCCCCGUUACAUAAUGGCCGGGGGCCGCGGCGGGGCCGGGACGGGGCCCUUUCCGGGGACACGGAGGUGGGAACCACUUGAGAGGCGGGAAAAGGUCCCCGCGGGGGUCGCUCCGCGGAGGGGAUGCGAUCCUCCGGCGGCGGCAGAGGGCAGCGGGGCCGUGCAGUUCACCGACACCCAAGGGCGGCCCAACAGUGACCUUGCGAGCGCCGGGCCCCCCACAUGGCCACGGCCCCAGCAGGGCGAGCCCCGGCACCAUGAGAAAGCAGAAAACGCCGCACCGCCUGAGCGGGCGGCCCCGAGCCGACAGACGAACCGCCGGACGGAGAGCGCGGCAGGCCCGGUGCUCUCUACUGCCCACAAAGCCUCGCGACCCGGCCGGCCGGCCCUGCAGCACCGGCCCCGACCCCACCGCCGCACCGGGCCCGCCACGAUGGCCCGCGCCGCCGCACCAGGCUUCCCCCAACACCAGCCCUGCAACUCCGCACCACCACCGAGGCAGGGCGGAGCACCGGGCAGCAGCCCGCUCCGGGGGCUGCCGGUGCCGCGCACCCGUCUGUGCGUUCCCUCCCGCCCGCCGCCAGCCCACGCCUACCUGGCCGGCCCGUUCCCCGGGCCCCGCGCGGCACUAGGCCCGGCUGAGCGCCACGGCGUUUCCUGGGCGGCCGGCGGCAGCAAGCCCGCGGCGGCAGCGCCAGCCCCUCCCCCUGGCAGCGGUACGACGGCUGCUCCCCAGGCCGGGCGGAAACGGCAAUGCGCGCACGGGGAUCCCCGGCGCCGGCGCCAGGGGCGCCCCGGCCACGCCUACUCGCGCUCUCCGUUGGCUGCCACGGCGCUGCGUCGCGCCCCGCCGGGCCGCCCGCCGCCGAUAUCGCCCCACCUUCCCUCACUUCCUAUUGGUGGGCUCUUCGCCCGGCCCCUCCCGCGCUCUUUUCUCAUUGGAAGCCGCCCGCCCGCCCCGCUGCUCGCCUCACUGACGCGGCGUCCCAUUGGCUCGCCAGGCUGCCAAUCAGCGGGGGAGGGCGGGACGACGCUAGUGCCGACGCGGUGCGGCCGGGCGGGCUGCGACGGUGCCCGCCGGCCGAGGCGCGCUACGUGCUGA